CUCUUCAUGCUCGUUGCUUCUUCUUUGUUCUCUGCUCUCUCGUUGCUCAUGGCAUGGCUCUCUCUCAUUGCUCCCAGCUCUCUCUCUCUCUACUCUUCACGGCUCUCUCUGCUCUCUUUACCUUCAUCAAUGACGGUUGAUCCAUCAACAACAUUGUUUGAAAACUCUAGCUAAAGGUUAUUGUUGCUGUGGAGUUGCUGUAGAGCAGAAUGGUGCUGUCGUGGAGUUGCCAAUUAAGUUGUAUUAUAAUCAACUUUGUGGAUUUUUUAUUAAGUUGAUUUUGAUACAUGGGAUUUAUUUAAAUUUGUAUAGAGGUUCUUUUAGUUGGAAGUUGAAUUUAUAUUGCAUCUAUUUUGUAAACACUGAAUUUGUAUGGAGUAGAAUUUAUUAAGUUGUGAAUUUGUAUGAAAUUAAAAACCA